rnacentral:lncRNA from 1 species
AAGUCUGGGUAUCAUCUUUUUUCCCCCAGCUAUGAGUAGGGAUAGCAGAACCACGAGGGAUAAGGGGUACUUUCCUCCUGGAAGGAUGAAGAUGUCUGCACACCAUCCUGUGUUGUGUAACUGGACCUGUUUCUAUAUCACACAAGUAACUGGCCCAGAGAUCCUCUGUCAGUUCCCAAAGACUACCCCUUGCAAAGGAAGCCAGAAACCCAAAGCCAGUGUUCUUGCUCCCAACUUCAAGGCUUUUCAAGUGCUCAUCUUCCAGAGAGGGAAUGUCUCAUAGUGAUGAGAGGGAUUUCUGUGCUUCCUGAUGCUUUUCCUGGAUGUGUGACCACCAUGCUGACAGCUAGACCAUGACAUGUUCUGAGGAGAUGAGCAGAUGUCUAUUCAUCUCAGAUCACUACCAGUAAACCAAAGAAAUGACUCCACCCAAGACUAGCCAGUCUCAGUUUAAGUCCAAAGGCAUCAGACUCAGGAAGCCAAUGCUACAGCCCUCAGCCAGAGUCCAGGAGGCUGGGAAGCCAGGAAGUCACUGGAAUACAUUCUCCAGAGGAAGGUCAGAGAUCCUGGACCUCAUGGCCAAUGACAGAAGAAUGUGCCUAUUCCAACACAGAACAGAAGUGCUACUCUCCCCUUCUCCUUUCCUUCUGAUCCUCCAUUAAAUAGACAACAGAUUCCACCCUACCCCCAAGCCUACCCCCUCCCUCUAGGUUUCUCUGGAGAUACCUUCCAGACACACCCAGAAGUAUUUCUCAGUAUCCUGCAUUGAGGAAUGGACAACAUGCUGUGAUAUUUUAAGAUAUAUAUGGAAAUGUAGAGACCAGAAGCCAA